GGGUUUCUACGGGCAGGGGAAGGAGCACCAGCAGAUAAACAGAGGCAGAAGCCCUGGGUCCCAGGGACAGCGUCAGGUGACCAGCUUUCUCUAGCAGCAGGUCCUCCGGACUCAUGUACAGAACCAAGAGGGAAGAGGGAAACUUCCAUUGUUUCAUCAGGCCCUGCCGGCUCCCAAAAGGAGGACAGAAGUUGGGAAGGAACACUUUGCACGGGAAUGGCACAUUCGGGCUCCUCGGAAAGACGGUUGCCUUGAAAUGCCCCGUCCUGUGUCGAGGGGAGACAGAGAAAGACAAGGCGGAGGAGCCCCAACUCCCAGGAAGCAAGAGGCUCCAAGCCUUCACCAAGCACCAAGCACGGCAGGGCACAACCCACGGGCGGGGGACAGAUCUUCCCCAGCUUGGAGGCUCACACAUCCCUGGGUGAGGAGACAGGAGCGAACUUUCUCGAAUCUGGUAUCUCACAUCCGUUUUGCAGGUGAUCCUCUCUCUCGUCAGGACUCCCUGUGGCCAGAGGUCCAGGAGCUACGUCUGGCUAUUUUCCCCUUCAGACGAGUUUCCAUCACUCGUUCCAUAAUUUUCCUCCAUCGCCUCCCAGUACUCUCCCCACCUUGACAGGCCAAUGGAGAGGAGACACCCGACGGUGACCAGGACGGGAACAUUGAAGCAAAAAUUAAAAAAAAAAAUCAUCAUAAUUAAGUAAACUAAGAAACAGAAAUAAAACCACCGGAAGGCCAAGUGAAGGGAAGUGAAACGAAAUGAAGCGAUGGACACGGUAGGAAGACUAAGAUAUCAGGGUGCCCACAUGUGGGAGUCUGACAACAUUUGGGCCUGCUGGUCGACCUUGAGGGGAAAAAAGAAGAAAAGAGGAUGGAUUAAAAGAAACACAAACACCCUACCAGAACCACCCCCCAGUAAAAUAAAACAGCAGAAAUCAAAGCUGCGUAUGUGUGUGUAUGGGGGGGGG